rnacentral:rRNA from 1 species
UCGAGGAUCUUCGGCAAUGGGCGCAAGCCUGACCGAGCGACGCCGCGUGCGCGAUGAAGGCCUUCGGGUUGUAAAGCGCUGUCGAGGGGGAGGAAAGCCCGCAAGGGCCUGACCUAUCCCUGGAGGAAGCACGGGCUAAGUUCGUGCCAGCAGCCGCGGUAAGACGAACCGUGCGAACGUUGUUCGGAAUCACUGGGCUUAAAGGGCGCGUAGGCGGGUUCCACAGUCGGGGGUGAAAUCUUUCGGCCCAACCGGAAAAGGGCCUCCGAUACUGGGAACCUCGAGUGGGGUAGGGGUCGAUGGAACUUCCGGUGGAGCGGUGAAAUGCGUAGAUAUCGGAAGGAACGCCGGUGGCGAAAGCGAUCGACUGGACCUCUUCUGACGCUGAGGCGCGAAAGCCAGGGGAGCGAACGGG